UACGAAGGGGGCUAGCGUUGCUCGGAAUCACUGGGCGUAAAGCGCACGUAGGCGGAUUGUUAAGUCAGGGGUGAAAGCCCGGAGCUCAACUCCGGAACUGCCUUUAAGACUGCAUCGCUUGAAUCCAGGAGAGGUGAGUGGAAUUCCGAGUGUAGAGGUGAAAUUCGUAGAUAUUCGGAAGAACACCAGUGGCGAAGGCGGCUCACUGGACUGGUAUUGACGCUGAGGUGCGAAAGCGUGGGGAGCAAACAGG
rnacentral:rRNA from 1 species